AACGAACGCUGGCGGCAUGCCUAACACAUGCAAGUCGAACGAGACCGUCGGGUCUAGUGGCGCACGGGUGCGUAACGCGUGGGAACCUGCCCGUAGGUUCGGAAUAACUCCCCGAAAGGGGUGCUAAUAACGGAUAAUGUCUUCGGACCAAAGAUCUAUCGCCUUUGGAUGGGCCCGCGUUGGAUUAGUUGGUUGGUAGGGUAAAAGCCUACCAAGGCGACGAUCCAUAGCUGGUCGGGGAGGAGGAUACGCCAGACUGGGGCUACGACACGGACCAGACUCCGAGGGGAGGGAGGAGUGGGGAAUAUUGGAGGAGGGGCGAAAACGUGGUCCAGCAAUGCCGGGGAAGUGAGGAAUGCCUUAGGGUUGUAAAGCUCUUUUACCCGGGAUGAUAAUGACAGUACCGGGAGAAUAAGCUCCGGCUAACUCCGUG
rnacentral:rRNA from 1 species